GGGGGGCUGGCGCAACGGUAGCGCGUUAGAUUCCAGCGACAUAUCAUUGAGAUGCUCGACGAGAGUCCUAAAGGUUAUCAGUUCAAAUCUGGUGUCCCUCA